GACGAACGCUGGCGGCGUGCUUAACACAUGCAAGUCGAACGGGCCUUGUCCCCUUUUUUUUUGGGGGGGGGGUUAGUGGCGAACGGGUGAGUAACACGUGAGUAACCUGCCCCUCACUUCUGGAUAACCGCUUGAAAGGGUGGCUAAUACGGGGUGUUCUGGCCUGCUCGCAUGGGUGGGUUUGGAAAGAUUCGACCGGUUUUGGUUGUUUUGGUGGGGGAUGGGCUCGCGGCCUAUCAGCUUGUUGGUGGGGUGAUGGCCUGCCAAGGCUUUGACGGGUAGCCGGCCUGAGAGGGUGGGCGGUCACACUGGGACUGAGACACGGCCCAGACUCCUACAGGAGGCAGCAGUGGGGAAUAUUGCACAAUGGGCGCAAGCCUGAUGCAGCGACGCCGCGUGAGGGAUGGAGGCCUUCGGGUUGUGAACCUCUUUCGCCAGUGAAGAAGGUCCUGCUCUUUGUGGUGGGGUUGACGGUAGCUGGGUUAAUGAAGCGCUGGCUAACUACGUG
rnacentral:rRNA from 1 species